GAGGAACGCAGAGACUGAGUUGCCAGCAAGAAGCCGUGCAGCCGCUGGGAAAGAAAGAGGUCUGGGCAUUUACUGCAUCGUUUCAGAGGCGCGAUCGCUAGAGAAGAUGGCACUCCCAUUGAGAUCGCUGAACCUGUGCCGGUGGAUAAUGAUCCAGGAGUCAAACCCUCUUCGCAUUAAAUAGACACCUGAGAGUCUUCUGAUAUCGGCUUAAGCUUGCUGCUGACCAGGUCUGCUGCAAGAGCAUCUUUUCAACCAUUUAACACUGUGACCAAAUUCCUGGAAAACAAGAGCUCAGGGAAGGGUCUUCUGGAUCAAGAGACUAGUUCACUGUGUCCACAGGUCACCCCAGGCCACCUAUAGGAACAGGAAGCUGUCAGUUAUUUUCAUUGUAUGCUAGCUGCUGCGUUGUCGCAGGAACUGAAGUUUUCAUUCUGUGGUGGCAUCUCCAACAGAUGGAUCCUGUAAUAGGGCCACGAUGUGGAAAAAAACCAUGAGAUUAAGUCAAACGAAUGAUGAAAGACGCAGUCAACAGACAUGGUAACCUCAAGCUGGAGGCAGCCGCUGCCAGCAUAGUACAUCAUAAAGGUUUUUGUUGCUGUGUUUCAUCGGUGCUGAUGAGAUUGAGCCUAGCACCUCUGUAGGCAGGUGCUCUACCACUGAAUCACGAUAUUCUACCCAGAAACAACCAUGAGCCAAAGCGAACCUUCCUUCCCCAAAGUCAUGUUUCUGAGGCAUGCAGUCGCAGCAGUGAGGAACAUUACCCAGCAAGGCAUGGAAUCCGUGAUGCUUCUCUCUCAGCUUCUGUGAGUCCCCUGAUGCUCCUGUCAACAGAAUGACAGUGAAGUCUCAUGAAAGCUCCCUCCUCCAUGGACGGCGGUUGUAUGGGAACGGAAGGCACACAGAAGGGCAGGCUCAUACCUGGAUGCUCAAGGAUACAGAUGCAAGGCGCUGGCGUCACCACGGUGACUGUUCCCUGAAGCAUCAGCUGCCAAUCAACAGUGGUCAGCACAAGGACUCUGGGAUGCUGCCAACAGAGAAGAGUCCUCCCACCGCCGCGCUCGGCAAAUGACUCAAAUCCUUUCACGUGAUUUCAUCUGUGCAGACUCUAAUCCACUUACUUAAUGAAAUACAUAAUUAACAUAUUAUAAUUGCAGUAAAGAUGGUUUUGACAGAAAUCA